AUUGAACGCUGGCGGCGUGCCUAAUACAUGCAAGUCGAACGCAGUGGGGACGGGUGAGUAACACGUGGGUAACCUCCCAUCAGAGGGGAUAACACUUGGAAACAGGUGCUAAACCGAUACUGAUGGAUGGACCCGCGGUGCAUUAGCUAGUUGGGGAGGUAACGGCUCACCAAGGCCACGAUGCAUAGCCGACCGAAGAGUGUGAGCGGCAACAGUGGUGCUGGGACAAUGCGCAGACUCCGACGGGAGGCAGCAGGAAGGAAUCUACGGCAAUGGGCGAAAGUCUGACCGGGCAACGCCGCGUGAGUGAAGAGGGUUAUCGGAGCGUGAAACACUGUUGUUAGAGAAGCGGUAUCUAACCAGAAAGCCACGGCUAACUACGUGCCAGCAGCCGCGGUAAUAC
rnacentral:rRNA from 1 species